ACGGUAACAAAACUUGGCUGCUGACACCAUAUCUGCGACCUCAGCAUGAAUACCAGCUAGCCUACAAUAGAGCUCACAAGAAAACACGGAGUAUUGUGGAGAGAGGAAUUGGCCAGUGGAAGCGAAGAUUUCAUGUUCUCCACAGUGAAAUUCGUGUAACUCCCCCAGGGAAAGUAUGUAAGAUUAUUUUUGUCUGCGCUAUGUUGCACAACAUAUGCAAAGACAGAAAUAUUCAAAUACUUUUGGAGGGUGGUGAAGAACAUGGCCAACCACAAGCAGAGGACAACAUCCAGAUGGCUGCCGGAGAGGAAAAUGACGACAAUGGUGGUCAUGCCGAGCCGCUCCCUGCAGGUCAAGACCGUGAUGGAUUGCGGUACAGGGACGAGUUUGUCAGACGCUAUUUCAAUGUUGAACUGUGAGGAACUUCAAUGUACAAUCGUGCCAGAAAAAACUGUCUCCUCCUCAUCUACCAUGAAGACUGUUCCGUCUUCCGAGGCAGAGGGAAGCAGCACACUGGUGACUUCUGUGGCAGGGGCAGAGGGAGCAGGCACGCUGGAAAUCACCUCAGCAGCAGCAGCAAAUAAGGCGGGCAGAUCUUGGGUAGCACCCUCCAAGAGCGACGCUGGGCCAGUUUCUGCAUGACUGGUUAACUCACUCAUGCAGACACUAAGGAAAAAAAGUUUAAAUUAUUGAUAAGUCUAAUUGUACAGUGCUCGCAAAAAGUUUAGGACGCGCCUAUCAGCCGAACGCAGGUCGCUAGGGAACUCACGCAUUAUAAGAAAAGAGCUGAAAAAAUCGUUACAAUGUAGCGAAAAUGCUUUGCUUUGUCUUUGCAACGUUGGUCGAGUCUCCCGCUAAGUAGUGACAACACUGAAAAUGAGCUGCCAGUUAGUUUUUAAAAAUUUAAGUAGUGAAGAAAUAACCUUUCCACCCCAGCCCGCUCCACGAGUGACGCUUUGAAAUUAUGUGUAUCUACAGAUUGUGUUGUGAACUGCGGAUUUAAUAUUGGGAAAUAUGAACAAUUAUCACAUGAUAUACUUGCAAUGAUAGUUGCUUUGCAUAAGGCUGGGCAGCAAACCAAGGAGAUCUUGAUACAACUCGGUGUGAGUGAGUGUUCUCUGAGGAAGAACGUUGCCAGGUUUCACCAGCGUGGCGGCGAGGAAACACCCACUCAAAAACCUCGGUCUGUCCACCCUUAUAAGGUCUUAUAACGGCCGUGGAGCGGGCUGGGGUGGAAAGGUUAUUUCUUCACUACUUAAAUUUUUAAAAACUAACUGGCAGCUCAUUUUCAGUGUUGUCACUACUUAGCGGGAGACUCGACCAACGUUGCAAAGACAAAGCAAAGCAUUUUCGCUACAUUGUAACGAUUUUUUCAGCUCUUUUCUUAUAAUGCGUGAGUUUCCUAGCGACCUGCGCUCGUCUGAUCGGCGCGGCCUAAACUUUUUGCGAGCACUGUAAGCUAUGUUAAGUCUGAUACACAUUGAGUAAAAAUGCAGCCUCAACUUUCUUUCUAAUACUCCCCAGUGAAUCAAGAAAGAGUUCUGGGGGGCAGCAUGAGCUAAACAUAACAGGCACCAAUUUAAACAAAUUCCUUAUGCCAUGACGAGCUUCAUGAGACUACCAUGCCCUUAAAAAUAAACAAAUAAAUUAUUCAACAAAUACAUAAAAGAAAACUACAGGCACUAUAGGUUGACUUGAAAUAAAUAAGUAAAGUUACUACACUC